UCUGAGAUGAAGCAGGAACUAGUCAAACGACUAAGGAGUUUUGGAAAGCACUGAAUACUUUCAGGAGAAUGAUAACGAAGUGUCAAUAAGCAGUAAAUAUGGAAUAAUGAAGGGAACACUUUAGGAAAAUUUUAGAAGGUUGGGAACUGAACUGCAAGAUAUUAAAUUAGGUAGAGGAACAACGAAUGAGAAAUUAAGUAGUUGGUGGACAGAAGAGAAAUUUGAAAAGCAAUUAAAACGUUUGAAUGAGAUUAAAUACACACGUGCUUGCUAACCCUAGCUUGUUCCUUACUAUAGUGGACGGAUAAAAAAAAAACGUAUCUAACUAUCUGUUUAAUCAGUUUAUGUACAAUCACUCUGAUAUGUCUAUGACUUAUCUACAAUAUUAAAUAAAAUUUUGUUAGAAAAUAAUUUUCCCUAUGUAUAUCAAUUAAAGUCAAAAUCAAAACUGCAGUAUCAGUUUCAAACUACUGUAUUAUAAAUCUAUAUUCUUCUCAUCUGUAGAAUACCGGCCAUCAGUUUAUAACACAAGUAUGAUCAUUCUUUGAAAGCUCAAAACAGUAUCAGUUUCAAACUACUGUAUUAUAGGUCUAUAUUCUUCUCAUCUGUAGAACACCGGCCAUCAGUUUAUAACACAAGUAUGACCAUUCUUUAAAAGCUCAAGACAGAGCCAGAAAAAACAAGAAGCUACAACUUUCAAAAAUAGCAGUCAGUAAGAUUAGUUUAGCUUGUUUGUUGUUAAGCCCAAAGCUACACAAUGGGCUAUCUAUGCUCUGCCUGCCACGGGUAUCGAAACCAGGAUUUUAGCAUCGUAAGCCUGCAGAUUUACCGCUGAGCCAUUGUGUGAGUACAGUCAUUAAGAAUAUUCGUCCUGAUAUUUACUCUUAACAAUACCAGUACGAGUGGUUCAUGUGGAAUUUUGGUCUCCAUUUCACACUUAUUUCUCUGCUUUAUUUCUCUGCGAAAUUCAAAACAACUAAACCAGUCAUGCAGAAACUUAACAAAGCAAACAAGCCCCUAAAAUUAUACCCCAAUGAAACUCUUCUCCUGGUAGCCACAUCAGCCAAAUUCCUGGGCCUAACCUACGAUUCAAAGCUAAAUUGGACUAAACAUGUAAAUGAAAUGUAUAUAGAUAAACGUAAAUAUAGGUGUAUCUAUUCCUUAUAUGUUUCCACUUUUAUGUAUUUUUAUUGCACUUUUAAUGUUUAUUAUGUUAAGAAAAAAAAUAGAAGCACAAUUUCAUAUCUUUUGUUACAGACGAUUUUUUAUUUCGUCCGUCCAACGGACGGUUACUCCAGCUCAUUAGAAAUAAAAUGUGACAAAAAGGAAAUUAUGUACGACGUCUGAUCGGCAACACUAGGGAUGCAACAACUGAAAACAUACUCAAAAUCUAUAAAACAUACAUAUGUCCAGUGGUAAAGUAUGCCUGCCCAGCAUGGUGAAAUGUAGCCAAAUCACAAAUAAACAAACUACAGACAAUUCAAAAUUCAAUAGUCACUAAAGCAUAAAAGAGUCCCCAGAUGCACAAACACAACUUUCCUACAUACUUAUGCAAACAUCCCUAUGUUGUCAGAAAGACUUCAAAACAGACUAAUAGACUAUCUCCAGAAAAAAUGUUAAUAAAAAUACUUCUCCAAGAACACUGAAAAACUUUAUUAUGUAUGAUGAAGAUAGACAAAAAUAUUUUUCGCCACUAAAUACAGUUAAUUCGUUAUGUAAUUUACGGCCACCUAAUACUGGGCAAACUUGUAGCUAGAUAUAGUGUUAAUUUUAUUUUUGAAGUUUUUUAUGUAAAAAUAUGAUUAGCACUGUAUAUGUUUCUAUCGGUGUCUAUGGAACUGUUUUGUAUGUACAAGACUGAAUGUUUAUAAUGAAUGAGAGAAAACGAAACAUUUGCCGAAAAUAAUAAUAAAAAAUCUACAUUUUUAUAUUCGUGAACAUAACCUGAAAAGGGCACUCGCGUAUAUGAUAAUCCAAGAACAACUGUACCAAGCAUACAGUGGUUACAUAAUAUUGAAAUGAAUUUUCCUAGUUACCCGACCGAACAAAAUCGGAGAACUAAUAUGGGCUUCAGCUACUACGUUCAAGAAUCAAAACAACAGUCAAGAAACCAGGUAGAAAUCCAGGGUGUACCUGAGCCUCCCGGGUCACAUGACCAAAGAACGAUCAGAGAAAUUUGACUAGAAUCUUAAGAUUGGUUACUUGUAUUACAUUACAAAAAUAGGCUUGAAGACAUAUUAUGACAUCAUGAAAAAUAGGUAAGUCUCAUAUUAUAACAUAAUAUUACUGUGGCAGAAAAUAUUAUUUCUUAUUAAUAGUUACAAAAUCAAUCCAUUAGAUAACGUAUACUAUGCAAUUGUGCCGAUCUCGGGAUGGACGACGAGGGCAUUUCUUCUGCACACUUCAUCGUAUGUAUUUAUGUCUAUGUAUUGUCACACACACUUUUAAGAUCACAUUAAAAGUUUUGCUUUAGAUUAAUGCUAUAAAAAAUAACAACAUACAAUUGUGUUACACAUAGGCCAUAAUGCUGUUUCCGGCAGGUAAACUUUUAAAUACAAAACUUACGCCUCCAUUCGUCUACUAGUGCUCCACUGCAUAAAUUCCAUGUUACACUGGAAACAUAAAUUUAGUUAGUAUAAGUGGGAUACUGCAUCUAGUUAUUGCAUCCCAUGAAACCAGCAAGACUGUCAACACUGACAAAUGAUCAUCUUGUGACAUCACGAACAAUCCGAUAAUUUUAUGUAAAUACAUGCAUGGUUUUAAAACAUUUGUGCUGGAGUAGCUACCCUUCCAUCGCAAACACACACACACACAACUAUCAAUACAGACAAGUGCUACUGAUACUAUUUGCUUUUCACUGCCAUAUCUAUUCCUCACAUCGCAACGCACAUCUGGACAGCGUUUUACGCCCAAACCUUCUCUUGAUACCAUGAAGGGAUUUGUGGGAAAUUGGUGACGUCAUCAGGCGUUGGUUUUUAGACAAAGGAACAUGGCUGGGUUUAACUCAGACUAUCAGUGCAAGUAUUGUCAAGAAGACAUUACAGAAGUAACAGUGAGAUGUAGCCAAUGCAAAGAUUUUGACCUUUGUUUACAGUGUUUUUCAUGUGGAGUAGAAAUAGGUGGACACAAAAAUAAACAUGGGUAUGAACUUAUAAACUGUGGUACUUUCCUGUUAUUUCAAACUCCUGGGUCAUGGAAAGCUGUGGAUGAAGUAUUGUUACUAGAAGCAGUAGAGCAUUAUGGCUUUGGAAACUGGGAAGGCAUAACUCAGCAUUUUAAAGAAAGAAGUAUAGAAGAUGUCAGAGACCACUACAUAGAUAUGUAUGUUUGUGGAAAUAUUGGUGAAGCAUCAUGGCCACUUCAGACUCUUCAUACUGUUAUAGACCAUACGUUUCCUAAUAAUGAUGAAAUUUUGCUACCUCCAGAGGAACUUUCAUUACAAGAACAGAGAGAAUUGGGUUACCUACCAAAGAGAGACGAUUUUGAAGUGGUCUAUGAGAAUAAUGCAGAAUCAUUAGUUUGUAAUUUAUGCGUCCAUAAAGAUGAAGAAGAGGUUUAUGUAGCUUUAAGUUUAGCACAAUUGGAUGGAUAUAACUGUAGAUUGAGAGAGAGAGAUCGGAGACAAAGAGCAGCUAGAGAACAUGGACUAUUUUGGGAGUUUUUCAACAAAUCAAAAUCCAGUGCUCCCAAAAAAAGGCUGUACGAUAAAAAAGAGGAAUUUCAAGAGAAGGUGAAAGUGUUCUGUCAGUUCCAAAGUGGUGCAGAAAGGUGUGAGUUUUUGAAAAAUAUACAGAAAGAAGAAGAUCUGAAGAGAAAGAUUGAACAAUUGAUGAAAUAUAGGAAAUGUGGUCUAACUAAGCUUGAUGAAUGUGAAAAAUUUGAUUCUAUGAAGUACAUGAAGAACACAAAGAAACAGAUAAAUAAUAAAUUGUUUACCAUUUAUCCAGGGCAGUUCCAAAACCACCACGCACAAAAGAUAUGCAAUGGUGUACGAAAAAGAAGGCGGAAGAGGCAUCACUCUUGGACACGAAAGAAAAAAAAAAAGUGAAGUAAUAAACUGGGUCGGUGAAGUGGCCCAAUACACACCUGACAUCUUCCUUAGACAGGAAUGAUCAAUUAGUCUGGUGAGAAACAGGGUACCGGAUGUGACCAUCUUCUCCAUGUCCCAUCUGGAUUGUCUUCAGAAAUAGUUAUUACACAUUGAGAGUGGAUCUCUUAAUACUCAGGAAUAACAUUUUUCUCUUACAGCGACAUAUUUAUUGUCAUCACAAUUAUCUCUUCAUCAUGUUGUAAACAUUUUUGAUGCAUGUUUAUGUCCAUAUCAGUUUUUUAUAAUAUAAGAUAUAUGCAACAUUUCUGUUUUUAUAACAAUUGUUAUAUAAUUGCUUUCUUCCAAUUUUAAAAUAGCAUUCUAUAAAAUGAUUCAGAAUACCUCAAUUCUCUGUGAAUGAAAACAUAACACGGGGUCUGAUCUAGGGAUGAUUUUUAUAACAUUAGUUAAUCCAGUUUGCUAACUGUCAAAAAACCUUAUAUAUAGUCAGUAACAAGUGCUGAAUAUUUUUAGAGGAGGAACUGUUAUAAUGAAAGGUAAUGUUGAUUACUGAUGCUUGGUAACUUCCUGAAAAUUGUAAAACAUAAAAUUCUGUACAACAUAAAGUAUGUUGGUCUAAAUAAAACUUUCAAUAAAAAAAAAAUUUUCAUUUAAUAUUAAUAAAAUUCACUAAAAUAAUAAUUUAAAAAAUGUUAAAAUUUAAUCUUAAAUAUUAUGUUAGCUUUCAACACUCCCUUUGUAUUACAUAACAUUUGGUUAGUGUAAUUAGUCUAGUCACAAUUGUAAUUUCUAAUCACAAAGUUCAUCCACUAUCAGUGACUGGUCCACUUUAAGUGGUUAUUUAAGAACAGAAUGAUGUUAUAUUUAAAACAUGGUUUCCAAAACUGUUCACAGUUUUGACAAUAACCAUAAUAUUUUGCUUACUCUUCUUUACUUUGCUCUAUAGAAGUUAUUUGUCUAUGUCUAAACCCCAUGUCACUGGUGUGUAUGUAUGUGUGAGUUAAAUAUAUAUAUAUACAGAAGUGUCACAGUUGCUAACGUAGAGUUCCCAGUUAAUUUUAGUUGCAUGUAUUGCAUACAAAUUUCCCAUGCCAUUCAUUGAUAACUGAUACUUAAGUAUUUAAUAUAUCCAUUAGAUUAAAGCAUAUUAUAUAAAUUGUUGCAGUUUUAUAUACAUUUUUAAAAGUAUACAUUUUGUUCCAUCACAAAAAGUUUAUUUUCACAAAAUACACAAGGUAGUACUAAAGAAUAGCUAAAUCAGGUCCUGUAACAUUUUUCUAUUGUUUUUUAUGUCUAUGUUGUGUACAAAAUCAUUAGUGAUCAUGAGCUUAAACUUGUAAAUAUUUUAGAUACAUUUUGCCAUUUUUUGUAGAACAGUGUUUACUUGUAUGUUUCUAUCUAUUUAUGUAACUGUUAUGUGAAAGCAAAAGAGCUAUCAAGAUAUUUUUACACUAUUUUUCAAAACUGUUUCUUUGAGAAUAUCUUCUUGCAUAAACUAAUUGCAAAAGGAUUGUUAAUAUCAUAUUUAGUUUAUAUUUCAUUUUGUCAAAUACUGGACAAUGUUACAGACAAAAAAAAUGUUGGUAUCAAAUAUUUCUGAUUUACAAAAUGGAGUUAUCACAGGGUUUGAUAUGAUUUGAUUUUAUUCAGAAUGGUGACUGUAGGAUUAAAAAAUGAACAUUUUGGUGCAAAUGACUGUUUUUUUUUGUGAUUUAAGAUAAAUUAGAUAAAGUUAAUUUUACUUUUAGAAUUUUAAUUCAUUUACAGUGUCUUCCAAAUUUUACAGUAAGCAAUGAAUGGUUGUGUAAUGUGACUCAAAUUUAAAUGAGUUUGGAAGACAUAAAAUUCGUUUUCAGUUUGAGCAAAAAUAAAAGAAGUGAAUACUCUCGAUUUUUUUAUACCUGUGAAAAGCAAAAACCCAAACUCAGCAUAUCACAGAUCUAUUGAAAAGUAUGAUAUACAACUCUAGACAGAAUUUGUUCAAUUACUACUUAGAGAGUUAAAUGAUUUAAACUUUGUUAGUUUAUGUUAAAAAUUUAAUUCUGUGGUGUAAAAUACUCAUUUAUAAAAUGAAAGUUUUUAUCAAAAUUUGUUAUAAGAACAGUUUUCAGCAAUGUUUACUUCCUUAUUUCUUUUCAGAAAAUUCAUCUGAAAAUAAAGAAACAAAAUAUUAAAAUUAUUUUGACCAAAAUCAGCAGUGGAUGUCAGUAUAGUUAAGAAAAGAUGUAAAAACAGUUUUAAAAUUGAAAUCCAAAUACUCUUAGAAAGUAACAGGUAAAAGUAAACUAUAAAAAUGCACCAGGUAAAAAAUGUGUACUACAUUUAGGGACCAAAAAAUGUAAAUAAUGUGUUGUUUUCUUUGGAAUGUCCAAUUAUAAUAAUGUAUGUUAUUAGGUUAAUAUUUAAGUAACUGCCACACAUAUUGUGUUAAUAUGUAUUCUGCUUACCAAAAUUGGGUUUAAGUCUAACCCAUAAUAAAAUGCAAAUUAAUAUUGAUUUAUUUUUUUACUACCUCCCUAUCUUUUACCUCUUCCCAAGAAAAAAAAUGUCAGAGGGAAAAUGAUCCAGUUUAGCUUACGAAUAAUUGGUAAACCCACUUUUUAUUAUGUAAUGUUCCCACAGUAAGUUUGAACAAACUGGUGAUCUUUUGCAUACAUUCAUAACUCUUUCACUUGUUGGAUAUUAGUUGUUUAGAAAGCUAUAAAUAAAUUUACCCUAUACAAGUCGAUUUUGGUUCCAAAUCUUUAAAUAGGAUAAUUUACCCAUUGUUGGAAACCUGUAAACUUUCUGCUGAUGAUUAGAGAUAUGUACGAUUGAAUCAUUGUGAUGUAGAUGGAUUUCACUCUUCUACUUAUGGGUAGAAUAAAAGGAGUUUCAUUCUGAC